AUUCAGUUUCAUGGCAAAGUUAAUCCCCCACAAGGAGUAAAUUACUGUUAAACAAUGCACAGGUUAAAGAGAUAGGGCGUUGCCUUACCUGAAUGCCCGUUCUGCUGAGCAAGGGGGCCAGCAGUCAGGAAUGGGUUAACUCUAUCGUCUAUCCUAGGAGUGAGUCUGCAAGCUAUUAAGCUCCUCCUCUUCCUCUUGCUUCCCAGCUUUCUGAUGGAGAUAUGGCAGAUUGGUGUGCUGAGCUGAAAAGAUUAGUGCCCCUUCCCCCGGCAAGGACCGGAAUAAACCAGGGUGGGGCUGACUGCCGCUCCCCUGCUCAGCAGAACAGGCGUUCAGGUGAACUACUAGCAGCAGCGGCAGGAGGCUCUGCCCACCCACCCAGACGUCAUCAAAUACAAUCUGCGCAUGCACAGAAGUGGUGCGCGAGCGAGCGAAGUUAGCGUGCAUGUGCAAGUGAACCAUUAGCAAAGGUGAUCUUGUGUUAUACCAGCUUGAGUAAAUAUCAUCUUUAAUUCUGGCUCUAUAUUCGUCUGCAAGAUAAAGCCAUAACAACUACUUAUAUCAGAAGAACGGUAAUGAGCCUCUUUGCUUCAAGUUCACCAAAUUCAUUAGGAUUUAUUUUGGGAAAUCCAAUAAUACAGAUAUAGUGCACCCAAAAUGAUGUUGCAGGAUACAGUAUAACUGUUUCAUUGUGGCUUAGCUGGCUAUGAGAGAUCAAUCUGUUGGGAGUUAUUUUAUGUUUUCCCUUGCUAAAUAAAUUAUAAUUCUUACUGUUUGUGGGGGGGGGGAGUUGUAAACAUUGCCACAGCAAACAUGGAGAUUUACUGUAAAAGGAGUAAAGAAUAAAGAUGCAAGUAAGAAAUAAGAAAAACAAGUCUUUGACAAUUGCAGGUCUAUACCCAUUUGCUUCAAGCACACAGGAGGACUUUUGUAAAAAUCCCAUUGCAUACCAUGAAUCAUUUAGACCACACUUUUCUGACACAUUAAGUGGAAGUGUAAAUUUAACAAACAGAAAACCAGUUUUUGCUUUAAUAGCAAGACUUUCAAAAUAAAUAUAAAUGGGAAAGAUAUGAUCCCAAAGGAGUAGUUAUAGA